rnacentral:rRNA from 1 species
GGUUAAGCGACUAAGCGUACACGGUGGAUGCCCUGGCAGUCAGAGGCGAUGAAGGACGUGCUAAUCUGCGAAAAGCGUCGGUAAGGUGAUAUGAACCGUUAUAACCGGCGAUGUCCGAAUGGGGAAACCCAGUGCAAUUCGUUGCACUAUCGUUAACUGAAUACAUAGGUUAACGAGGCGAACCGGGGAACUGAAACAUCUAAGUACCCCGAGGAAAAGAAAUCAACCGAGAUUCCCCAGUAGCGGCGAGCGAACGGGGAGCAGCCCAGAGUCUGAAUCAGCUUGUGUGUUAGUGGAACGGUCUGGAAAGUCCGACGGUACAGGGUGAUAGUCCCGUACACCAAAAUGCACAGGCUGUGAACUCGAAGAGUAGGGCGGGACACGUGGUAUCCUGUCUGAAUAUGGGGACCAUCCUCCAAGGCUAAAUACUCCUGACUGACCGAUAGUGAACCAGUACCGUGAGGGAAAGGCGAAAAGAACCCCGGCGAGGGAGUGAAAAAGAACCUGAAACCGUGUACGUACAAGCAGUGGGAGCACCUUCGGGUGUGACUGCGUACCUUUGUAUAAUGGGUCAGCGACUUAUAUUCUGUAGCAAGGUUAACCGUAUAGGGAGCCGCAGGAAACCGAGUCUUAACUGGGCGUUAAGUUGCAGGGUAUAGACCCGAAACCCGGUGAUCUAGCCAUGGGCAGGUUGAAGGUUGGGUAACACUAACUGGAGGACCGAACCGACUAAUGUUGAAAAAUUAGCGGAUGACUUGUGGCUGGGGUGAAAGGCCAAUCAAACCGGGAGAUAGCUGGUUCUCCCGAAAGCUAUUUAGGUAGCGCCUCGUGAAUUCAUCUUCGGGGUAGAGCACUGUUUCGGCUAGGGGUCAUCCCGACUUACCAACCCGAUGCAAACUACGAAUACCGAAGAAUGUUAUCACGGGAGACACACGGCGGGUGCUAACGUCCGUCGUGAAGAGGGAAACAACCCAGACCGCCAGCUAAGGUCCCAAAGUCAUGGUUAAGUGGGAAACGAUGUGGGAAGGCACAGACAGCCAGGAUGUUGGCUUAGAAGCAGCCAUCAUUUAAAGAAAGCGUAAUAGCUCACUGGUCGAGUCGGCCUGCGCGGAAGAUGUAACGGGGCUAAACCAUGCACCGAAGCUGCGGCAGCGACACUAUGUGUUGUUGGGUAGGGAGCGUUCUGUAAGCCUGCGAAGGUGACCUGUGAGGGUUGCUGGAGGUAUCAGAAGUGCGAAUGCUGACAUAAGUAACGAUAAAGCGGGUGAAAAGCCCGCUCGCCGGAAGACCAAGGGUUCCUGUCCAACGUUAAUCGGGGCAGGGUGAGUCGACCCUAAGGCGAGGCCGAAAGGCGUAGUCGAUGGGAAACAGGUUAAUAUUCCUGUACUUGGUGUUACUGCGAAGGGGACGGAGAAGGCUAUGUUAGCCGGGCGACGGUUGUCCCGGUUUAAGCAUGUAGGCUGGUUAUCCAGGCAAAUCCGGAUAAUCAAGGCUGAGGUGUGAUGACGAGGCACUACGGUGCUGAAGUAACAAAUGCCCUGCUUCCAGGAAAAGCCUCUAAGCAUCAGGUAACAUCAAAUCGUACCCCAAACCGACACAGGUGGUCAGGUAGAGAAUACCAAGGCGCUUGAGAGAACUCGGGUGAAGGAACUAGGCAAAAUGGUGCCGUAACUUCGGGAGAAGGCACGCUGGUGUGUAGGUGAAGUCCCUGCGGAUGGAGCUGAGACCAGUCGAAGAUACCAGCUGGCUGCAACUGUUUAUUAAAAACACAGCACUGUGCAAACACGAAAGUGGACGUAUACGGUGUGACGCCUGCCCGGUGCCGGAAGGUUAAUUGAUGGGGUUAUCCGUAAGGAGAAGCUCUUGAUCGAAGCCCCGGUAAACGGCGGCCGUAACUAUAACGGUCCUAAGGUAGCGAAAUUCCUUGUCGGGUAAGUUCCGACCUGCACGAAUGGCGUAAUGAUGGCCAGGCUGUCUCCACCCGAGACUCAGUGAAAUUGAACUCGCUGUGAAGAUGCAGUGUACCCGCGGCAAGACGGAAAGACCCCGUGAACCUUUACUAUAGCUUGACACUGAACAUUGAGCCUUGAUGUGUAGGAUAGGUGGGAGGCUUUGAAGCGUGGACGCCAGUCUGCGUGGAGCCAACCUUGAAAUACCACCCUUUAAUGUUUGAUGUUCUAACGUUGGCCCCUGACCGGGGUUGCGGACAGUGUCUGGUGGGUAGUUUGACUGGGGCGGUCUCCUCCCAAAGCGUAACGGAGGAGCACGAAGGUUAGCUAAUCCUGGUCGGACAUCAGGAGGUUAGUGCAAUGGCAUAAGCUAGCUUGACUGCGAGCGUGACGGCGCGAGCAGGUGCGAAAGCAGGUCAUAGUGAUCCGGUGGUUCUGAAUGGAAGGGCCAUCGCUCAACGGAUAAAAGGUACUCCGGGGAUAACAGGCUGAUACCGCCCAAGAGUUCAUAUCGACGGCGGUGUUUGGCACCUCGAUGUCGGCUCAUCACAUCCUGGGGCUGAAGUAGGUCCCAAGGGUAUGGCUGUUCGCCAUUUAAAGUGGUACGCGAGCUGGGUUUAGAACGUCGUGAGACAGUUCGGUCCCUAUCUGCCGUGGGCGCUGGAGAAUUGAGGGGGCUGCUCCUAGUACGAGAGGACCGGAGUGGACGCAUCACUGGUGUUCGGGUUGUCAUGCCAAUGGCACUGCCCGGUAGCUAAAUGCGGAAGAGAUAAGUGCUGAAAGCAUCUAAGCACGAAACUUGCCCCGAGAUGAGUUCUCCUGAGACUUUAAGUCUCCUGAAGGAACGUUGAAGACGACGACGUUGAUAGGCCGGGUGUGUAAGCGCAGCGAUGCGUUGAGCUAACCGGUACUAAUGAACCGUGAGGCUUAACCUU